AACGAACGCUGGCGGCAUGCCUAACACAUGCAAGUCGAACGAAGUGGCGCACGGGUGCGUAACGCGUGGGAAUCUGCCCUUGGGUCUGGGAUAACGGCGGGAAACUGCCGCUAAUACCGGAUGCCUGAGGAUGAGCCCGCGUAGGAUUAGGUAGUUGGUGUGGUAAAGGCGCACCAAGCCGACGAUCCUUAGCUGGUCUGAGAGGAUGAUCAGCCACACUGGGACUGAGACACGGCCCAGACUCCUACGGGAGGCAGCAGUGGGGAAUAUUGGACAAUGGGCGCAAGCCUGAUCCAGCAAUGCCGCGUGAGUGAUGAAGGCCUUAGGGUUGUAAAGCUCUUUUACCCGGGAAGCUGUACCGGGAGAAUAAGCCCCGGCUAACUCCGUGCCAGCCGCCGCGGUAAUAC
rnacentral:rRNA from 1 species